rfam:Triticum aestivum genome assembly, contig: Triticum_aestivum_CS42_TGACv1_scaffold_408401_5BL
UUAUUACUCCCUUCGUCCGGAAAUACUCGUCGGAGGAAUGGAUGUAUCUAGAUGUAUUUUAAUUUUAGAUACAUUCAUUUUCAUGCAUUUCUUCGACAAGUAUUUCCGGACGGAGGGAGUACGAA